AGUGAACGCUGGCGGUAGGCCUAACACAUGCAAGUCGAACGGCAGCACAGGACAGCUUGCUCUCUGGGUGGCGAGUGGCGGACGGGUGAGGAAUACAUCGGAAUCUACUCUGUCGUGGGGGAUAACGUAGGGAAACUUACGCUAAUACCGCAUACGACCUACGGGUGAAAGCAGGGGAUCUUCGGACCUUGCGCGAUUGAAUGAGCCGAUGUCGGAUUAGCUAGUUGGCGGGGUAAAGGCCCACCAAGGCGACGAUCCGUAGCUGGUCUGAGAGGAUGAUACGCCACACUGGAACUGAGAAACGGCCCAGACUCCUACGGGCGGCAGCAGUGGGGAAUAUUGGACAAUGGGCGCAAGCCUGAUCCAGCCAUACCGCGUGGGUGAAGAAGGCCUUCGGGUUGUAAAGCCCUUUUGUUGGGAAAGAAAUCCAGCUGGCUAAUACCCGGUUGGGAUGACGGUACCCAAAGAAUAAGCACCGGCUAACUUCGUGCCAGCCGCCGCCGUAA
rnacentral:rRNA from 1 species